AAUAUGAAAAAGGAACGGCCAAAAAUAAAAAGAAAGACCUUUCUUUUGAAAAAACACACAAAUAAAGGGAAUGCCACGCGAGGACUUCCCAGGAGGUCACCCAUCUUAGUACUACUCUCGCCCAAGCACGUUUAAUUUCGGAGUUCUGAUGGGAUCCGGUGCUUUAGUGCUGGUAUGAUCGCAUCCGACAUACCGUGCGUUCUCCUCCCCUUUAUGCCCGCGCCUCCGUGUACGGCCCGCCCAUAGCUCCUUAGACGGCGCCGCCUAGGAACGCGGAGAAAAUAUGACAAAGGAACGGCCAAAAAUAAAAAGAAAGACCUUUCUUUUGAAAAAACAAACGCCUCCGUGUACGGCCCGCCCAUAGCUCCUUCGACGGCGCCGCCUAGGAACGCGGAGAAAAUAUGACAAAGGAACGGCCAAAAAUAAAAAGAAAGACCUUUCUUUUGAAAAAACAAACGCCUCCGUGUACGGCCCGCCCAUAGCUCCUUCGACGGCGCCGCCUAGGAACGCGGAGAAAAUAUGACAAAGGAACGGCCAAAAAUAAAAAGAAAGACCUUUCUUUUGAAAAAACAAACAAAAAAAAGAAAUGCAACACGAGGACUUCCCAGGAGGUCACCCAUCCUAGUACUACUCUCGCCCAAGCAUGCUUAACUUCGGAGUUCUGAUGGGAUCCGGUGCUUUAGUGUUGGUAUGAUCGCAUCCGACAUACCGUGCGUUCUCCUCCCCUUUAUGCCCGCGCCUCCGUGUACGGCCCGCCCAUAGCUCCUUCGACGGCGCCGCCUAGGAACGCGGAGAAAAUAUGACAAAGGAACGGCCAAAAAUAAAAAGAAAGACCUUUCUUUUGAAAAAACAAACAAAAAAAAGGAAUGCAACACGAGGACUUCCCAGGAGGUCACCCAUCCUAGUACUACUCUCGCCCAAGCACGCUUAACUUCGGAGUUCUGAUGGGAUCCGGUGCUUUAGUGCUGGUAUGAUCGCAUCCGACAUACCGUGCGUUCUCCUCCCCUUUAUGCCCGCGCCUCCGUGUACGGCCCGCCCAUAGCUCCUUCGACGGCGCCGCCUAGGAACGCGGAGAAAAUAUGACAAAGGAACGGCCAAAAAUAAAAAGAAAGACCUUUCUUUUGAAAAAACAAACAAAAAAAAGGAAUGCAACACGAGGACUUCCCAGGAGGUCACCCAUCCUAGUACUACUCUCGCCCAAGCACGCUUAACUUCGGAGUUCUGAUGGGAUCCGGUGCUUUAGUGCUGGUAUGAUCGCAUCCGACAUACCGUGCGUUCUCCUCCCCUUUAUGCCCGCGCCUCCGUGUACGGCCCGCCCAUAGCUCCUUCGACGGCGCCGCCUAGGAACGCGGAGAAAAUAUGACAAAGGAACGGCCAAAAAUAAAAAGAAAGACCUUUCUUUUGAAAAAACAAACAAAUAAAAGGAAUGCAACACGAGGACUUCCCAGGAGGUCACCCAUCCUAGUACUACUCUCGCCCAAGCACGCUUAACUUCAGAGUUCUGAUGGGAUCCGGUGCUUUAGUGCUGGUAUGAUCGCAUCCGACAUACCGUGCGUUCUCCUCCCCUUUAUGCCCGCGCCUCCGUGUACGGCCCGCCCAUAGCUCCUUCGACGGCGCCGCCUAGGAACGCGGAGAAAAUAUGACAAAGGAACGGCCAAAAAUAAAAAGAAAGACCUUUCUUUUGAAAAAACAAACAAAUAAAAGGAAUGCAACACGAGGACUUCCCAGGAGGUCACCCAUCCUAGUACUACUCUCGCCCAAGCACGCUUAACUUCGGAGUUCUGAUGAGAUCCGGUGCUUUAGUGCUGGUAUGAUCGCAUUCGACAUACCGUGCGUUCUCCUCCCCUUUAUGCCCGCGCCUCCAUGUACGGCCCGCCCAUAGCUCCUUCGACGGCGCCGCCUAGGAACGCGGAGAAAAUAUGACAAAGGAACGGCCACGAAUAAAAAGAGAGACCUUUCUUUUGAAAAAACAAACGCCUCCGUGUACGGCCCGCCCAUAGCUCCUUCGACGGCGCCGCCUAGGAACGCGGAGAAAAUAUGACAAAGGAACGGCCAAAAAUAAAAAGAAAGACCUUUCUUUUGAAAAAACAAACAAAAAAAAGGAAUGCAACACGAGGACUUCCCAGGAGGUCACCCAUCCUAGUACUACUCUCGCCCAAGCACGCUUAACUUCGGAGUUCUGAUGGGAUCCGGUGCUUUAGUGCUGGUAUGAUCGCAUCCGACAUACCGUGCGUUCUCCUCCCCUUUAUGCCCGCGCCUCCGUGUACGGCCCGCCCAUAGCUCCUUCGACGGCGCCGCCUAGGAACGCGGAGAAAAUAUGACAAAGGAACGGCCAAAAAUAAAAAGAAAGACCUUUCUUUUGAAAAAACAAACAAAUAAAAGGAAUGCAACACGAGGACUUCCCAGGAGGUCACCCAUCCUAGUACUACUCUCGCCCAAGCACGCUUAACUUCGGAGUUCUGAUGGGAUCCGGUGCUUUAGUGCUGGUAUGAUCGCAUCCGACAUACCGUGCGUUCUCCUCCCCUUUAUGCCCGCGCCUCCGUGUACGGCCCGCCCAUAGCUCCUUCGACGGCGCCGCCUAGGAACGCGGAGAAAAUAUGACAAAGGAACGGCCAAAAAUAAAAAGAAAGACCUUUCUUUUGAAAAAACAAACAAAAAAAAGGAAUGCAACACGAGGACUUCCCAGGAGGUCACCCAUCCUAGUACUACUCUCGCCCAAGCACGCUUAACUUCGGAGUUCUGAUGGGAUCCGGUGCUUUAAUGCUGGUAUGAUCGCAUCCGACAUACCGUGCGUUCUCCUCCCCUUUAUGCCCGCGCCUCCGUGUACGGCCCGCCCAUAGCUCCUUCGACGGCGCCGCCUAGGAACGCGGAGAAAAUAUGACAAAGGAACGGCCAAAAAUAAAAAGAAAGACCUUUCUUUUGAAAAAACAAACAAAAAAAAGGAAUGCAACACGAGGACUUCCCAGGAGGUCACCCAUCCUAGUACUACUUUCGCCCAAGCACGCUUAACUUCGGAGUUCCGAUGGGAUCCGGUGCUUUAGUCCUGGUAUGAUCGCAUCCGACAUACCGUGCGUUCUCCUCCCCUUGAGGCCCGCGCCUCCGUGUACGGCCCGCCCAUAGCUCCUUCGACGGCGCCGCCUAGGAACGCGGAGAAAAUAUGACAAAGGAACGGCCCACAACUAGAAAGAAAGACCUUUCUUUUGAAAAGACAGACAAACAAAAGGAAUGCAACACGAGGACUUCCCAGGAGGUCACCCAUCCUAGUACUACUCUCGCCCAAGCACGCUUAACUUCGGAGUUCUGAUGGGAUCCGGUGCUUUAGUGCUGGUAUGAUCGCAUCCGACAUACCGUGCGUUCUCCUCCCCUUUAUGCCCGCGCCUCCGUGUACGGCCCGCCCAUAGCUCCUUCGACGGCGCCGCCUAGGAACGCGGAGAAAAUAUGACAAAGGAACGGCCAAAAAUAAAAAGAAAGACCUUUCUUUUGAAAAAACAAACAAAUAAAAGGAAUGCAACACGAGGACUUCCCAGGAGGUCACCCAUCCUAGUACUACUCUCGCCCAAGCACGCUUAACUUCGGAGUUCUGAUGGGAUCCGGUGCUUUAGUGCUGGUAUGAUCGCAUCCGACAUACCGUGCGUUCUCCUCCCCUUUAUGCCCGCGCCUCCGUGUACGGCCCGCCCAUAGCUCCUUCGACGGCGCCGCCUAGGAACGCGGAGAAAAUAUGACAAAGGAACGGCCAAAAAUAAAAAGAAAGACCUUUCAUUUUGAAAAAACAAACAAAAAAAAGGAAUGCAACACGAGGACUUCCCAGGAGGUCACCCAUCCUAGUACUACUCUCGCCCAAGCACGCUUAACUUCGGAGUUCUGAUGGGAUCCGGUGCUUUAGUGCUGGUAUGAUCGCAUCCGACAUACCGUGCGUUCUCCUCCCCUUUAUGCCCGCGCCUCCGUGUACGGCCCGCCCAUAGCUCCUUCGACGGCAGCCGCCUAGGAACGCGGAGAAUAUAUGACAAAGGAACGGCCAAAAAUAAAAAGAAAGACCUUUCUUAUGAAAAAACAGACAUACCCAAGGAAUGCAACACGAGGACUUCCCAGGUGCCCAAGCACGCUUAACUUCGGAGUUCUGAUGGGAUCCGGUGCUUUAGUGCUGGUAUGAUCGCAUCCGACAUACCGUGCGUUCUCCUCCCCUUUAUGCCCGCGCCUCCGUGUACGGCCCGCCCAUAGCUCCUUCGACGGCGCCGCCUAGGAACGCGGAGAAAAUAUGACAAAGGAACGGCCAAAAAUAAAAAGAAAGACACUUUCUUUUGAAAAAACAAACAAAAAAAAGGAAUGCAACACGAGGACUUCCCAGGAGGUCACCCAUCCUAGUACUACUCUCGCCCAAGCACGCUUAACUUCGGAGUUCUGAUGGGAUCCGGUGCUUUAGUGCUGGUAUGAUCGCAUCCGACAUACCGUGCGUUCUCCUCCCCUUUAUGCCCGCGCCUCCGUGUACGGCCCGCCCAUAGCUCCUUCGACGGCGCCGCCUAGGAACGCGGAGAAAAUAUGACAAAGGAACGGCCAAAAACAAAAAGAAAGACCUUUCUUUUGAAAAAACAAACGCCUCCGUGUACGGCCCGCCCAUAGCUCCUUCGACGGCGCCGCCUAGGAACGCGGAGAAAAUAUGACAAAGGAACGGCCAAAAAUAAAAAGAAAGACCUUUCUUUUGAAAAAACAAACAAAAAAAAGGAAUGCAACACGAGGACUUCCCAGGAGGUCACCCAUCCUAGUACUACUCUCGCCCAAGCACGCUUAACUUCGGAGUUCUGAUGGGAUCCGGUGCUUUAGUGCUGGUAUGAUCGCAUCCGACAUACCGUGCGUUCUCCUCCCCUUUAUGCCCGCGCCUCCGUGUACGGCCCGCCCAUAGCUCCUUCGACGGCGCCGCCUAGGAACGCGGAGAAAAUAUGACAAAGGAACGGCCAAAAAUAAAAAGAAAGACCUUUCUUUUGAAAAAACAAACGCCUCCGUGUACGGCCCGCCCAUAGCUCCUUCGACGGCGCCGCCUAGGAACGCGGAGAAAAUAUGACAAAGGAACGGCCAAAAAUAAAAAGAAAGACCUUUCUUUUGAAAAAACAAACAAAAAAAAGGAAUGCAACACGAGGACUUCCCAGGAGGUCACCCAUCCUAGUACUACUCUCGCCCAAGCACGCUUAACUUCGGAGUUCUGAUGGGAUCCGGUGCUUUAGUGCUGGUAUGAUCGCAUCCGACAUACCGUGCGUUCUCCUCCCCUUUAUGCCCGCGCCUCCGUGUACGGCCCGCCCAUAGCUCCUUCGACGGCGCCGCCUAGGAACGCGGAGAAAAUAUGACAAAGGAACGGCCAAAAAUAAAAAGAAAGACCUUUCUUUUGAAAAAACAAACGCCUCCGUGUACGGCCCGCCCAUAGCUCCUUCGACGGCGCCGCCUAGGAACGCGGAGAAAAUAUGACAAAGGAACGGCCAAAAAUAAAAAGAAAGACCUUUCUUUUGAAAAAACAAACAAAAAAAAGGAAUGCAACACGAGGACUUCCCAGGAGGUCACCCAUCCUAGUACUACUCUCGCCCAAGCACGCUUAACUUCGGAGUUCUGAUGGGAUCCGGUGCUUUAGUGCUGGUAUGAUCGCAUCCGACAUACCGUGCGUUCUCCUCCCCUUUAUGCCCGCGCCUCCGUGUACGGCCCGCCCAUAGCUCCUUCGACGGCGCCGCCUAGGAACGCGGAGAAAAUAUGACAAAGGAACGGCCAAAAAUAAAAAGAAAGACCUUUCUUUUGAAAAAACAAACAAAUAAAAGGAAUGCAACACGAGGAGUUCCCAGGAGGUCACCCAUCCUAGUACUACUCUCGCCCAAGCACGCUUAACUUCGGAGUUCUGAUGGGAUCCGGUGCUUUAGUGCUGGUAUGAUCGCAUCCGACAUACCGUGCGUUCUCCUCCCCUUUAUGCCCGCGCCUCCGUGUACGGCCCGCCCAUAGCUCCUUCGACGGCGCCGCCUAGGAACGCGGAGAAAAUAUGACAAAGGAACGGCCAAAAAUAAAAAGAAAGACCUUUCUUUUGAAAAAACAAACAAAAAAAAGAAAUGCAACACGAGGACUUCCCAGGAGGUCACCCAUCCUAGUACUACUCUCGCCCAAGCACGCUUAACUUCGGAGUUCUGAUGGGAUCCGGUGCUUUAGUGCUGGUAUGAUCGCAUCCGACAUACCGUGCGUUCUCCUCCCCUUUAUGCCCGCGCCUCCGUGUACGGCCCGCCCAUAGCUCCUUCGACGGCGCCGCCUAGGAACGCGGAGAAAAUAUGACAAAGGAACGGCCAAAAAUAAAAAGAAAGACCUUUCUUUGAAAAAACAAACAAUUCACAGGAAUGCAACACGAGGACUUCCCACGAGGUCACCCAUCCUAGUACUACUCUCGCCCAAGCACGCUUAACUUCGGAGUUCUGAUGGGAUCCGGUGCUUUAGUGCUGGUAUGAUCGCAUCCGACAUACCGUGCGUUCUCCUCCCCUUUAUGCCCGCGCCUCCGUGUACGGCCCGCCCAUAGCUCCUUCGACGGCGCCGCCUAGGAACGCGGAGAAAAUAUGACAAAGGAACGGCCAAAAAUAAAAAGAAAGACCUUUCUUUUGAAAAAACAAACCAAAAAAAAGGAAUGCAACACGAGGACUUCCCAAGAGGUCACCCAUCCUAGUACUACUCUCGCCCAAGCACGCUUAACUUCGGAGUUCUGAUGGGAUCCGGUGCUUUAGUGCUGGUAUGAUCGCAUCCGACAUACCGUGCGUUCUCCUCCCCAUUAUGCCCGCGCCUCCGUGUACGGCCCGCCCAUAGCUCCUUUGACGGCGCCGCUUAGGAACGCGGAGAAAAUAUGACAAAGGAACGGCCAAAAAUAAAAAGAAAGACCUUUCUUUUGAAAAAACAAACAAAUAAAAGGAAUGCAACACGAGGACUUCCCAGGAGGUCACCCAUCCUAGUACUACUCUCGCCCAAGCACGCUUAACUUCGGAGUUCUGAUGGGAUCCGGUGCUUUAGUGCUGGUAUGAUCGCAUCCGACAUACCGUGCGUUCUCCUCCCCUUUAUGCCCGCGCCUCCGUGUACGGCCCGCCCAUAGCUCCUUCGACGGCGCCGCCUAGGAACGCGGAGAAAAUAUGACAAAGGAACGGCCAAAAACAAAAAGAAAGACCUUUCUUUUGAAAAAACAAACAAAAAAAAGGAAUGCAACACGAGGACUUCCCAGGAGGUCACCCAUCCUAGUACUACUCUCGCCCAAGCACGCUUAACUUCGGAGUUCUGAUGGGAUCCGGUGCUUUAGUGCUGGUAUGAUCGCAUCCGACAUACCGUGCGUUCUCCUCCCCUUUAUGCCCGCGCCUCCGUGUACGGCCCGCCCAUAGCUCCUUCGACGGCGCCGCCUAGGAACGCGGAGAAAAUAUGACAAAGGAACGGCCAAAAAUAAAAAGAAAGACCUUUCUUUUGAAAAAACAAACAAAUAAAAGGAAUGCAACACGAGGACUUCCCAGGAGGUCACCCAUCCUAGUACUACUCUCGCCCAAGCACGCUUAACUUCGGAGUUCUGAUGGGAUCCGGUGCUUUAGUGCUGGUAUGAUCGCAUCCGACAUACCGUGCGUUCUCCUCCCCUUUAUGCCCGCGCCUCCGUGUACGGCCCGCCCAUAGCUCCUUCGACGGCGCCGCCUAGGAACGCGGAGAAAAUAUGACAAAGGAACGGCCAAAAAUAAAAAGAAAGACCUUUCUUUUGAAAAAACAAACAAAUAAAAGGAAUGCAACACGAGGACUUCCCAGGAGAUCACCCAUCCUAGUACUACUCUCGCCCAAGCACGCUUAACUUCGGAGUUCUGAUGGGAUCCGGUGCUUUAGUGCUGGUAUGAUCGCAUCCGACAUACCGUGCGUUCUCCUCCCCUUUAUGCCCGCGCCUCCGUGUACGGCCCGCCCAUAGCUCCUUCGACGGCGCCGCCUAGGAACGCGGAGAAAAUAUGACAAAGGAACGGCCAAAAAUAAAAAGAAAGACCUUUCUUUUGAAAAAACAAACAAAAAAAAGGAAUGCAACACGAGGACUUCCCACGAGGUCACCCAUCCUAGUACUACUCUAGUACCAAGCACGCUUAACUUCGGAGUUCUGAUGGGAUCCGGUGCUUUAGUGCUGGUAUGAUCGCAUCCGACAUACCGUGCGUUCUCCUCCCCUUUAUGCCCGCGCCUCCGUGUACGGCCCGCCCAU
rnacentral:lncRNA from 1 species